rnacentral:rRNA from 1 species
AACGUAGGAGACAAACGUUAUCCGGAGUUACUGGGCGUAAAGGGCGUGUAGGCGGUCUGUUAAGUCUGGCGUGAAAGCUCUCGGCUAAACCGGGAGAGGUCGUUGGAUACUGGCAGACUAGAGGACGGUAGAGGCGUGUGGAAUUCCGGGUGUAGUGGUGAAAUGCGUAGAGAUCCGGAGGAACACCAGUGGCGAAGGCGACACGCUGGGCCGGUACUGACGCUGAGGAGCGAAAGCGUGGGGAGCAAACAGG